rnacentral:rRNA from 1 species
GAUGAACGCUAGCGGCAGGCCUAAUACAUGCAAGUCGGACGGGAUUGGAGAGCUUGCUUUCCAUGAGAGUGGCGCACGGAUGCGCAACACGUAUGUAACCUACCUUGUUCAGGGGGAUAGCCUCUCGAAAGAGAGAUUAAGACCGCAUAACCUUGCGAUGUGGCAUCACAUUGUAAUCAAAUAUUUAUAGGAACAAGAUGGGCAUGCGGAACAUUAGCUAGUUGGUAAGGUAACGGCUUACCAAGGCUACGAUGUUUAGGGGAUCUGAGAGGAUGACCCCCCACACUGGUACUGAGACACGGACCAGACUCCUACGGGAGGCAGCAGUAAGGAAUAUUGGUCAAUGGGCGGAAGCCUGAACCAGCCAUGCCGCGUGCAGGAAGACGGCCCUAUGGGUUGUAAACUGCUUUUGCAGGGGAAUAAACCUUGGUACGUGUACCAAGCUGAAUGUACUCUGAGAAUAAGGAUCGGCUAACUCCGUGCCAGCCGCCGCCGUAA